UACGUAGGGUGCAAGCGUUGAUCGGAAUUACUGGGCGUAAAGCGCACGUAGGCGGCGACUCAAGUCAGAGGUGAAAGCCCGGGGCUCAACCCCGGAACUGCCUUUGAAACUAGGUUGCUAGAAUCUUGGAGAGGUCAGUGGAAUUCCGAGUGUAGAGGUGAAAUUCGUAGAUAUUCGGAAGGACACCAGUGGCGAAGGCGACUGACUGGACAAGUAUUGACGCUGAGGUGCGAAAGCGUGGGGAGCAAACAGG
rnacentral:rRNA from 1 species